rnacentral:rRNA from 1 species
ACUCAAAGGAAUUGACGGGGGCCCGCACAAGCAGUGGAGUAUGUGGUUUAAUUCGAAGCAACGCGAAGAACCUUACCAGGUCUUGACAUCCCUCUGACCGGUGUAGAGAUACACCUUCUCUUCGGAGCAGAGGUGACAGGUGGUGCAUGGUUGUCGUCAGCUCGUGUCGUGAGAUGUUGGGUUAAGUCCCGCAACGAGCGCAACCCUUAUCAUUAGUUGCUACGCAAGAGCACUCUAAUGAGACUGCCGUUGACAAAACGGAGGAAGGUGGGGAUGACGUCAAAUCAUCAUGCCCCUUAUGACCUGGGCUACACACGUACUACAAUGGCUAUUAACAGAGGGAAGCAAAGCCGCGAGGUGGAGCAAAUCCCCAAAAAUAGUCUCAGUUCGGAUUGUAGGCUGCAACUCGCCUACAUGAAGUCGGAAUUGCUAGUAAUCGCAGAUCAGCAUGCUGCGGUGAAUACGUUCCCGGGCCUUGUACACACCGCCCGU